rnacentral:rRNA from 1 species
ACUUUAAGGGAUAAUUUUAAGAGGGGGGGUAUAGGUUUUAUGGAUUAAAGCUGUUUAGUUUAUUAUAAAAAUAUUUGUUUGUGGUGCAAAAGAUUUUUGUGGCUUUAAUUUUUAUUUUUUUAUUUUUUGGUAUUGCAUACCAUUUAUGGAAAUUAACAUAGAAUAUGUUUUAUAGAGAAGGAAGGUAGAAAAAUUUUUUUUUGUUGUGGUGUUGUAUAACAAAUUUUAAAGUUUUUUGUGUUGAGAUGUCGACUUUCUUGGUAUCUGUUUGUUAUUUUGUUAUUAGAAAAUUGUAUUUUUGGUGUUUAAGAAGGAAUUUAAAAUUUUGAAGUGUUUUGUUUUUUUGUUUUAUAACAUUUUCUUUUUAUAAAUAAUUUCUUUUCAUUUUUUUUUUAUUAAUUUUUUAAUAAAUUUAUAAUUAUAGAUUUAGUAGUUUUUUUGUUAUUUGGUGUGGUUUUAAAAUUUUUUUGUGUUAACUAGAGUUUUGAUCAAAUGUUUUUUAAAGACUUAGGUGUUUUUUUAAUACUGGCCUCUGCUCUAUGUUUUUAUAAAUGGCAGUCUUAGCGUGAGGACAUUAAGGUAGCAAAAUAAUUUGUGCUUUUAAUGGGUUCUAGUAUGAAUGGGGUUAUUGGUUGAUUAUUUACUUAAUUUUUUAUGAAGUAGAUUUUUAUUUAAGAAUGAAUAGUUAUGGUUAAACAAAGAUAAGUCUUCGGAAAUUUUUUUAUCAUGAUAGUUCUUUUGUUAUUUGAUUUUUUCUAGGGUAGAAUUUUUUAUAGUUUUUUUUACUAAAUGUAUUCUAAAAAAUUACUUCGGAGUUAACAGAAAAUCAUAUUUUGACCAGUUUUUAUGGUAAGAAUAAGUUUUACAUCGAUGUUGUAUCCUAGUUGUUUUGAAGAGGA